UACGGAGGGUGCGAGCGUUGUCCGGAUUUAUUGGGCGUAAAGAGCGUGUAGGCGGCUUUACAGGUCCGUUGUGAAAACUCGAGGCUCAACCUCGAGACGCCGGUGGAAACCGUAAGGCUAGAGUCCGGAAGAGGAGAGUGGAAUUCCUGGUGUAGCGGUGAAAUGCGCAGAUAUCAGGAGGAACACCCGUGGCGAAAGCGGCUCUCUGGGACGGUACUGACGCUGAGACGCGAAAGCGUGGGGAGCAAACAGG
rnacentral:rRNA from 1 species